AUCACUUCUUGUCCUUCAGCUAAGGAGAAGUGUGAUAUCUGUUCUUAUCAGUUUAAUAGCACAAACAUUCUCUAUAUGAGGACAACAUGGUGAAAAUGGACUUUUGGAGCUGGGAGGUAGAAUGAGAGCUUGCACUGUCCACUCCAUGCAGCAAUGUGGUAUUGCACCACCUCCACCAAUGGUGUACCCCCC